rnacentral:lncRNA from 1 species
GGUAGCCAUCUAUACGGUUAGGUGCAGAUGUGGAGCUAAUGAUAGGCGCUAGACCGUAAUCAGAGACCUUAGCUUCAUAGGAGUUAGACAAUAGUAUGUUCGAAGACUUGAUGUUUCCAUGAGAAGUAGUCGAAUCACGCGAAUGUAAGUAACUAAUCGCUCUCGCAGCUCCCAAUGCAAUACCAGCUCUGGUCUCCCAGUUCAACGGAGUCCUCCCGCUUCCUUUGUUCCCUAAAAAUCCAUUUAAAUCAGCUCAAAUGACAUAACCAAUCACAACAACGCAGUGAUACUUACCGUGCAAGAGAGCAGACAAGCUUCCUCUAGACAUGUACUCAAAGACAAGAAGCUUCUCGUCACGGCUAAAGUAGUAAGCGAUCAAAGUCACAAGAUUAGGAUGACUCAUCGAUCCCAAAACCUGCAUCCUCUCUCUAAAAUCUUUCUCAGGCACCACAACGUCUCUCAACCGCUUCACAGCAACCACCAAACCAUGAUCAAAGCUCGCCUUAUACGAAGACCCAACAGAUCCUUUCCCAAGAACCUCAGCCGAAGCCUUCAACAACCCGUCCAAAUCGAAUUCCCCGAAAGACUUCACGAAAAAGAUCAAAUCUUUACUCACCACACCGCUCUCCGCCGCCGCCGCCGUUUCCUUCGGUAUAACUACGGCGGUGGAGGAAGUCGUAGCGGCGGCGACGGGAGCUGCUUCGACGUUUCUCGGCGGAGCAUUCUCCUCCGUCUUUCUCUUCCUACAGAGACAGAACAGAACCAAGAGAAGCAGUAACAAACCGACAACGCACCCGAUCACAAUUCCGACGAUAGCUCCCGUUGAUAACCCGUCACUGUCUUUAGACGGCGGAGACCUCUGAUUCGUACCUUGUGAGCUCUGGAUCAAACACAUCAGACGGUGACUGCUGAUCAGUAACAGAUUGGACCCAUCUUGGCAAAUCUACACCUUCGUUCAGUUGCUGAUGUGUUGGAGACUUCCCUGGAAUGCAACGCACCAUGUUAAUACUCCUAAAACCAAAGUUAAAAAAAAAAAAACUCUGGUUUUGUGUUUGUUACCUGUGAGUAGCUCAAGUAUUAGGACACCAAAGCUGUAAACAUCAGCUUUCUGAGAGAUUUUGCGCGCAUCGGUGACUUCAGGUGCACGGUAGCCAUCGAUACGGUUAGGUGCAGACGUGGAGCUAAUGAUAGGCGCUAGACCGUAAUCAGAGACCUUAGCUUCGUAUGAAUUAGACAAGAGAAUGUUCGAAGACUUGAUGUUUCCAUGAGAAGUUGUCGAAUCGCGCGAAUGUAGGUAACUAAUCGCUCUCGCAGCUCCCAAUGCUAUACCAGCUCUGGUCUCCCAGUUCAACGGAGUCCUCCCGUUUCCUUUGUUCCC